CCUAUCAACUUUCCAUGGACUUUCUGCGACUACCAUGGUAAACACGGGUAACGGGGAAUCAGGAUUCGAUUCUG